rnacentral:rRNA from 1 species
UCCAGACUCCUACGGGAGGCAGCAGUGGGGAAUAUUGCACAAUGGGCGCAAGCCUGAUGCAGCCAUGCCGCGUGUAUGAAGAAGGCCUUCGGGUUGUAAAGUACUUUCAGCGGGGAGGAAGGUGUUGUGGUUAAUAACCACAGCAAUUGACGUUACCCGCAGAAGAAGCACCGGCUAACUCCGUGCCAGCAGCCGCGGUAAUACGGAGGGUGCAAGCGUUAAUCGGAAUUACUGGGCGUAAAGCGCACGCAGGCGGUUGAUUGAGUCAGAUGUGAAAUCCCCGGGCUUAACCCGGGAACUGCAUUCGAAACUGGCAGGCUUGAGUCUCGUAGAGGGGGGUAGAAUUCCAGGUGUAGCGGUGAAAUGCGUAGAGAUCUGGAGGAAUACCGGUGGCGAAGGCGGCCCCCUGGACGAAGACUGACGCUCAGGGGCGAAAGCGUGGGGAGCAAACAGGAUUAGAUACCCCAGUAAUC